UACGUAGGGGGCUAGCGUUGUCCGGAAUCAUUGGGCGUAAAGAGCGUGUAGGCGGUCCGGUAAGUCCGCUGUGAAAGUCGGGGGCUCAACCCUCGAAUGCCGGUGGAUACUGUCGGGCUAGAGUGCGGAAGAGGCGAGUGGAAUUCCCGGUGUAGCGGUGAAAUGCGCAGAUAUCGGGAGGAACACCUAUGGCGAAGGCAGCUCGCUGGGACGUUACUGACGCUGAUGCGCGAAAGCCAGGGGAGCGAACGGG
rnacentral:rRNA from 1 species